AGGAUAAUAAUUUAAAUAAAAAUAUUUAUUUAGCAAAUAAAAUAUAUUAAAUUCUUAUUAAUUUAUCUUA
rnacentral:tRNA from 1 species